rnacentral:tRNA from 2 species
GCUGCCGUAGCUCAGUGGUAGAGCACUCCCUUGGUAAGGGAGAGGUCGAGAGUUCGAGUCUCUCCGGCAGCACCA